rnacentral:rRNA from 1 species
GGGUUGUGAGGUUAAGCGACUAAGCGUACACGGUGGAUGCCCUGGCAGUCAGAGGCGAUGAAGGACGUGCUAAUCUGCGAAAAGCGUCGGUAAGGUGAUAUGAACCGUUAUAACCGGCGAUGUCCGAAUGGGGAAACCCAGUGCAAUUCGUUGCACUAUCGUUAACUGAAUACAUAGGUUAACGAGGCGAACCGGGGGAACUGAAACAUCUAAGUACCCCGAGGAAAAGAAAUCAACCGAGAUUCCCCCAGUAGCGGCGAGCGAACGGGGAGCAGCCCAGAGUCUGAAUCAGCUUGUGUGUUAGUGGAACGGUCUGGAAAGUCCGACGGUACAGGGUGAUAGUCCCGUACACCAAAAUGCACAGGUUGUGAACUCGAAGAGUAGGGCGGGACACGUGGUAUCCUGUCUGAAUAUGGGGGGACCAUCCUCCAAGGCUAAAUACUCCUGACUGACCGAUAGUGAACCAGUACCGUGAGGGAAAGGCGAAAAGAACCCCGGCGAGGGGAGUGAAAAAGAACCUGAAACCGUGUACGUACAAGCAGUGGGAGCACCUUCGGGUGUGACUGCGUACCUUUUGUAUAAUGGGUCAGCGACUUAUAUUCUGUAGCAAGGUUAACCGUAUAGGGGAGCCGCAGGGAAACCGAGUCUUAACUGGGCGUUAAGUUGCAGGGUAUAGACCCGAAACCCGGUGAUCUAGCCAUGGGCAGGUUGAAGGUUGGGUAACACUAACUGGAGGACCGAACCGACUAAUGUUGAAAAAUUAGCGGAUGACUUGUGGCUGGGGGUGAAAGGCCAAUCAAACCGGGAGAUAGCUGGUUCUCCCCGAAAGCUAUUUAGGUAGCGCCUCGUGAACUCAUCUUCGGGGGUAGAGCACUGUUUCGGCUAGGGGGUCAUCCCGACUUACCAACCCGAUGCAAACUACGAAUACCGAAGAAUGUUAUCACGGGAGACACACGGCGGGUGCUAACGUCCGUCGUGAAGAGGGAAACAACCCAGACCGCCAGCUAAGGUCCCAAAGUCAUGGUUAAGUGGGAAACGAUGUGGGAAGGCACAGACAGCCAGGAUGUUGGCUUAGAAGCAGCCAUCAUUUAAAGAAAGCGUAAUAGCUCACUGGUCGAGUCGGCCUGCGCGGAAGAUGUAACGGGGCUAAACCAUGCACCGAAGCUGCGGCAGCGACACUAUGUGUUGUUGGGUAGGGGAGCGUUCUGUAAGUCUGCGAAGGUGACCUGUGAGGGUUGCUGGAGGUAUCAGAAGUGCGAAUGCUGACAUAAGUAACGAUAAAGCGGGUGAAAAGCCCGCUCGCCGGAAGACCAAGGGUUCCUGUCCAACGUUAAUCGGGGCAGGGUGAGUCGACCCCUAAGGCGAGGCCGAAAGGCGUAGUCGAUGGGAAACAGGUUAAUAUUCCUGUACUUGGUGUUACUGCGAAGGGGGGACGGAGAAGGCUAUGUUAGCCGGGCGACGGUUGUCCCGGUUUAAGCAUGUAGGCUGAUUAUCCAGGCAAAUCCGGAUAAUCAAGGCUGAGGUGUGAUGACGAGGCACUACGGUGCUGAAGUAACAAAUGCCCUGCUUCCAGGAAAAGCCUCUAAGCAUCAGGUAACAUUAAAUCGUACCCCAAACCGACACAGGUGGUCAGGUAGAGAAUACCAAGGCGCUUGAGAGAACUCGGGUGAAGGAACUAGGCAAAAUGGUGCCGUAACUUCGGGAGAAGGCACGCUGGUGUGUAGGUGAAGUCCCUGCGGAUGGAGCUGAGACCAGUCGAAGAUACCAGCUGGCUGCAACUGUUUAUUAAAAACACAGCACUGUGCAAACACGAAAGUGGACGUAUACGGUGUGACGCCUGCCCGGUGCCGGAAGGUUAAUUGAUGGGGUUAUCCGUAAGGAGAAGCUCUUGAUCGAAGCCCCGGUAAACGGCGGCCGUAACUAUAACGGUCCUAAGGUAGCGAAAUUCCUUGUCGGGUAAGUUCCGACCUGCACGAAUGGCGUAAUGAUGGCCAGGCUGUCUCCACCCGAGACUCAGUGAAAUUGAACUCGCUGUGAAGAUGCAGUGUACCCGCGGCAAGACGGAAAGACCCCGUGAACCUUUACUAUAGCUUGACACUGAACAUUGAGCCUUGAUGUGUAGGAUAGGUGGGAGGCUUUGAAGCGUGGACGCCAGUCUGCGUGGAGCCAACCUUGAAAUACCACCCUUUAAUGUUUGAUGUUCUAACGUUGGCCCCUGACCGGGGUUGCGGACAGUGUCUGGUGGGUAGUUUGACUGGGGCGGUCUCCUCCCAAAGCGUAACGGAGGAGCACGAAGGUUAGCUAAUCCUGGUCGGACAUCAGGAGGUUAGUGCAAUGGCAUAAGCUAGCUUGACUGCGAGCGUGACGGCGCGAGCAGGUGCGAAAGCAGGUCAUAGUGAUCCGGUGGUUCUGAAUGGAAGGGCCAUCGCUCAACGGAUAAAAGGUACUCCGGGGAUAACAGGCUGAUACCGCCCAAGAGUUCAUAUCGACGGCGGUGUUUGGCACCUCGAUGUCGGCUCAUCACAUCCUGGGGCUGAAGUAGGUCCCAAGGGUAUGGCUGUUCGCCAUUUAAAGUGGUACGCGAGCUGGGUUUAGAACGUCGUGAGACAGUUCGGUCCCUAUCUGCCGUGGGCGCUGGAGAAUUGAGGGGGGCUGCUCCUAGUACGAGAGGACCGGAGGGGACGCAUCACUGGUGUUCGGGUUGUCAUGCCAAUGGCACUGCCCGGUAGCUAAAUGCGGAAGAGAUAAGUGCUGAAAGCAUCUAAGCACGAAACUUGCCCCGAGAUGAGUUCUCCCUGAGACUUUAAGUCUCCUGAAGGAACGUUAAAGACGAUGACGUUGAUAGGCCGGGUGUGUAAGCGCAGCGAUGCGUUGAGCUAACCGGUACUAAUGAACCGUGAGGCUUAACCUUACAACGCCGAAG